rnacentral:rRNA from 3 species
AAAUUGAAGAGUUUGAUCAUGGCUCAGAUUGAACGCUGGCGGCAGGCCUAACACAUGCAAGUCGAACGGUAACAGGAAGCAGCUUGCUGCUUCGCUGACGAGUGGCGGACGGGUGAGUAAUGUCUGGGAAACUGCCUGAUGGAGGGGGAUAACUACUGGAAACGGUAGCUAAUACCGCAUAACGUCGCAAGACCAAAGAGGGGGACCUUCGGGCCUCUUGCCAUCGGAUGUGCCCAGAUGGGAUUAGCUUGUUGGUGGGGUAACGG